UAUUGUGUAACUAAUGCUUUCGCCAACUUUGUUCCCGCUUUGUUUGCGAUUUUCGUGCCAGUGCACGUCGGGUGCUGGUUGCUGUUGUCCGGGCAUCCCCGCCAUUUUCUAUCUUCUUCUGCCUUGGGAACGGUUGUAGCGCUGGCGUGAUUCUUAAUAAUUUUGUUGUGAGAUUAGUUGAGAAAGUAAGCGCUAGGGGGUGAAGCUGCGGGGCUUUAUACAGGACAAAAAAGCAUUACGAGUCAGUUUCUGCCUGCCUCUCGGAUGGAGCAGUCGCAUGGUUCUGCGCUCCUGUUCUGGUGGGCUCAUUUGUUGUGUAACUAAUUCUUUUUGUUGUUAGCUAUUGAUGGUUUGCAUACUCUUGCUUUCCCAUCCUCUGUAUUACGAGUGUUUUUCUCCUUGCAUGCCCAGAGCUGUCCUAACCUGCCCAGACAUGUCAUGAUGACGUCACAGCUGACGUCACAGGAUGUCCGGAACUGGUGGUCAUAGCUGCGAUGCUUUGCAACCUGCUUCUGUGCUCCGUCGCCCAGCGACGGUCAGCGGCCUUUCCGGGCCGCUUUCUUCACGAUGACGUCGUUGAUCUCCAACUAAACUCCUUCUCUCCACUCUAUCUCUAUCAAUUUUUUUUAUUUUUUAUGGACUCUCAUAGUGCACAACGCUCGGGUGGUCUGGACACGAGUUAGAUGUUCCCCAAUUAGUGUGGUGGCUCCCUGGAGGGUGCUGAUUAAUGUGGGGGGUCCCAAUUAGCUCUAAUUGCUAAUUAAUGGCGUCCAGAAGCCUUGUAGCGUUGUGCACUGUGAGAGUCCAGUACCUACUACUGAAAGAAACAAGGAUAUGAUUCUGCGUCGUAAUGGGUUUUUGUUGUUUGUUCGGAGCAGCGGCUGCAGUGUUGCGUCCCGUCAGACCAUGAGAGAGCAAAUGAGGAUAUGAAUUUGCGUCGUAAUGGCGGCUGCAGUCUUGCGUCCCGUCAGGCAAGUGUACACUUCGUGGCUGGUGUUGAUUCUGCUAAUUUCAUUUUCCUUCAUGCAGGCUCUACUUUGUUGAACACUAAGCUGGGUGAACCAACUUUGUUGUUGCUAUGACCGUAUUGCUCAGUUUUACUCACUUGUGUUUGAACGUUACUAAUUUGCGAUUGCACGCCCUAUUUCAGACACAUAUCUCUCCAGCGCUUCAGAGAUGUCACUGGCGCCGAAAUGCCAGCUGUUUCACCGUGGGUCGCCAGAAGAACAGCAGAUCAUUGACUGUCAAUUGUGCGUCGCUACACUAUGUGUCACGAAGGAUGUGUAUGUGUGAAAUACGUAACUACUGUGUGCGCGGGAUGUUUUGUAUGAUUGUGUCGACACUCGAUACCACUUUCAAGGUAUGCAUUUUCGGAAUAAAGUAAAUACAUGUUUAAUUUUGCA